AGUAAUACAUAAAUAACCUGCCCUAGACAGGGGGAUAACUAUUGGAAACGAUAGCUAAGACCGCAUAGGUACGGACACUGCAUGGUGACCGUAUUAAAAGUGCCUCAAAGCACUGGUAGAGGAUGGACUUAUGGCGCAUUAGCUGGUUGGCGGGGUAACGGCCCACCAAGGCGACGAUGCGUAGCCGACCUGAGAGGGUGACCGGCCACACUGGUACUGAGACACGGCCCAGACUCCUACGGGAGGCAGCAUG
rnacentral:rRNA from 1 species